rnacentral:rRNA from 1 species
CAUGCGGCAGCUACACAUGCAAGUCGAGCGGAUGAGUGGAGCUUGCUCCAUGAUUCAGCGGCGGACGGGUGAGUAAUGCCUAGGAAUCUGCCUGGUAGUGGGGGACAACGUUUCGAAAGGAACGCUAAUACCGCAUACGUCCUACGGGAGAAAGCAGGGGACCUUCGGGCCUUGCGCUAUCAGAUGAGCCUAGGUCGGAUUAGCUAGUAGGUGAGGUAAAGGCUCACCUAGGCGACGAUCCGUAACUGGUCUGAGAGGAUGAUCAGUCACACUGGAACUGAGACACGGUCCAGACUCCUACGGGAGGCAGCAGUGGGGAAUAUUGGACAAUGGGCGAAAGCCUGAUCCAGCCAUGCCGCGUGUGUGAAGAAGGUCUUCGGAUUGUAAAGCACUUUAAGUUGGGAGGAAGGGCAGUAAGUUAAUACCUUGCUGUUUUGACGUUACCAACAGAAUAAGCACCGGCUAACUUCGUGCCAGCAGCCGCGGUAAUACGAAGGGUGCAAGCGUUAAUCGGAAUUACUGGGCGUAAAGCGCGCGUAGGUGGUUCAGCAAGUUGGAGGUGAAAUCCCCGGGCUCAACCUGGGAACUGCCUCCAAAACUACUGAGCUAGAGUACGGUAGAGGGUAGUGGAAUUUCCUGUGUAGCGGUGAAAUGCGUAGAUAUAGGAAGGAACACCAGUGGCGAACGCGACUACCUGGACUGAUACUGACACUGAGGUGCGAAAGCGUGGGGAGCAAACAGGAUUAGAUACCCUGGUAGUCCACGCCGUAAACGAUGUCGACUAGCCUUGGGAUCCUUGAGAUCUUACUGGCGCAGCUAACGCAUUAAGUCGACCGCCUGGGAGUACGGCCGCAAGCUCAAAACUCAAUGAAUUGACGGCGGCCCGCACAAGCGGUGGAGCACGUGGUUUAAUUCGAAGCAACUACGAAGAACUUACCUGGCCUUGACAUGCUGACACUUUCCACAUAUGGAUUGCUGCGUUCGGGGACUCAAACUCAGGUGCUGCAUGUCUGUCUUCAACUGUGACGUGAGAUGUAGUGUUAUGUCCGGUAUCCAGCGCACUCAUAGUCCUUAACUACCAGCACUCGGGUGGGCACUCUAGGAAGACUGCCGUUAACAAAUCGGCAGGAAG